UUAACAUUAAUAAUAAAUGAAAAGUACAAGUAUAACCUACUCUACUUCUUCCCUUUCUUCUUCCUAGUGCGCAACUCAGAUCGCAAAGGGGCUGAAGGAAAUUUGAGGAAGGAGAUCUGAUGUACUUGCUUGUGGAUCUUAAUUAUUCGGGAGAUCAUGAUCGCCGUAGAGCAUAAA